GUCGGCCGGCCGGCGCGGAGGCAGUGUCUCAGAGCAGCAGCGGCCGCCGGCAGCCGCCCGAGCGAGCCGAGCCGAGCACACACGGACAGUCGGGCCGGGUCAGGCGGGGUCACCGAGGUCGGGUCAUGUCGCGGCGGAAGCAGGCGCGCCCGAUCCGCCACCUGGACUCGGAGGAGCCGCCGGAUCUGCCACUGGGCAAUGGCGGCGGAUCGGAGGUCGACUGCGCCGACCUCGACGGCCGACGCUCGCCGAUCGAGGAGCGUCGUCCCGAGUCCGAGCCGGCCGCUGACGCCGAGCAGGACGAAGCCGACGGCUCGGUGGCGUCUCCGGCCGGCAGUGUCGCCAGUCGGGACAGCCCCCGCGCGCGCCUCAUCACCGAGGAGACCAAGCUGGGAGCGCUUCAGGCGAACCUGGCGAGCUCCCUCAGCUCGCUUGCCUCUCUGACGGGCUCGCCGGCGGCUCUCCCCGGUCUGCUGCAGGCCCUCAAGGCUGGAUCUCCGUCCCUGGAAUCGCUGCAGAGCACCGGCAUGGCGGUGGCGCAGCUGACUGCCUCGGCUGUGGCCAACAACACGCACAACCCAAAGGCUCUCCAGGAGUUGGCCAUCCUACAGUCGACGCUGUUCACCCUGCAGCAGCAGCAGGUGUUUCAGAUGAACCUGAUCCAGCAGCUGCAGGCGCAACUGCGUAUCACCAAGAGCGAGGAGCGCCGCGAUGGUUCGGAGUCGGAGGGUGAGCCUCGCGCUGCUGGCAGUCCGCCACCGAGCGACCGGCAGACGGAGCCGCCACUGCCCUCCCCGCCUCUCAAAGAAGAGCCGCUGGACGGUCCACCACCGUCGCAGCUGCCGCCCCCGCCACCGCCGCCACCACCGUCGUCAGCGCCGCCGCCGCCGUCACUGGCGUCGUCAGUGAUCCAGCCGACAGAUGACGGGCCGACAGAGAGCGGCAACUCGCUGCAGCUGCUGCAGAAGACCACCCAGCAGGUGCUGAGUAACGCCAGCCAGGGUCUCCUGGCCAACAACAUGGUGGAUGAGAUGUACCGGCACACGAAGGCGCCGGGAGGCUUCUCCGGCGACCGCAAGGAGGCGCCGUUCUUCAAGCACCGCUGUCGCUAUUGUGGUAAGGUGUUCGGCAGCGACUCGGCGCUGCAGAUCCACAUCCGUUCUCACACCGGAGAGAGGCCGUACAAGUGUAAUAUCUGCGGGAACCGCUUCACCACCAAGGGUAACCUGAAGGUACACUUCCAGCGGCACAGCGCGCGAUUCCCGCACGUCAAGAUGAACAUCAACAUGGUGCCAGAGCACAUGGAUAAGUUCUUUCCGCCACUGCUGGCGCAGCUGGGUGAGCUACCGGAGACGCCGCAGCCGCCGGUGCCGCCGCCGCACUUCGGAUCACCUCUGCUCGGGCCUCCGCCGCUCUACUCGCGGGCACUGAAUGACGAGACGGACGCAAGUCCUGGUGAAAAGGUCCGACCGACCGGCGACCGAGGGAAAACAGCGCCUCCUCCGCCACCCCCGCCGCCGCCUCCACCGCAGCUGCCGCCUACCACACAGCAGCCUCCGACCCCCGAGUGGCCCGAGGCUGGUGAUGAGCCUCUCAGUCUGACCAAGCCGCGAGUGAGCCGGCCGUCGGGGGAGGAACCGACGCCUCCGCCGCCCCCUCCGCCACCCCCUGUGACGCAGUCGCUCAGUGACCGUCUACGAGAGCUGGAGUCUCUACGCCGUCUUCUGCCGCCUAUGAUCAAACGGCCGGCAGACGACGAGGCGGGCCUGGACCAGGCUAAGAGGCCGCGCGCUGACGAACCUGAGGUGAAGCGCGAGCCAAUCGAGGAGGAUGCCGGAGCACCUCUGAAACCUGGGUCGGAGGUGGACGAACGCAGCCGCGACAGUCGCCUGAGCGAGCCGCGUGACUCGGCUGUGCGCUCAGACAGCGAGCCGGCCGACCACUCGCCCGAGCGGCCGCAGAACCUCUCCAAGUCGGCCACGCCACCAGUGCCCCGCUCUGCAGCGCUCGCCUCGCUCGGCCAGCGCAUGAUGCCCUCGUUCCCGUUCUCAUUCCCGAUGACGAGCAUGCCUCAGCCGGCGUUCCCGUUCCACUCCGGCUCGUUCAACCCGCUGUUGAACCUGCCGCCGGAUGUGGACCCCAGUAAGCACCCCAACAUCUACACCAACCUGCUGCCCAAGCCGGGCGUUAACGACAACUCGUGGGAGGCGCUGAUCGAGGUGCAGAAGACCUCAGAGACGUCCAAGCUGCAGCAGCUGGUGGACAACAUCGAGAACAAGAUCACCGACCCGAACCAAUGCGUCAUCUGCCAGAGGGUGCUCUCAUGCAAGUCUGCGCUUCAAAUGCACUACCGCACGCAUACCGGCGAGCGGCCCUUCAAGUGCAAGAUCUGCAGCCGCGCCUUCACCACCAAGGGUAACCUGAAGACGCACAUGGGUGUGCACCGCUCCAAGCCACCGGUGCGGAUGUCUCACCAGUGCCCUGUGUGCCACAAACGUUUCCACAACGGGUUGAUCCUGCAGCAGCACAUCAAGCUGCACACGGGCGAACCCACGGACAUGACUCCCGAGCAGAUCGCAGCUGGGGAGGUGCUGGAGCCGAUGUUGCCCCUGGCGCCUGGGUUCCCGCCGGCGGGUAUGUUCCCUGGAGGUUUCCCGCUGCCGCCUAGCCACCUUCCUAGCUUCCCCGGCUUCCCGGGAGGAUUCCCUCUGCACCUACCCAAGCGGCCUCUCUCGGUCGGCAGUCGCGACAGAGACGAGAACGGCAACCGCACCAAGGAGGGCGGCGCGGCCACCAACGGCGAGCGCUCGGACGCCUCUGGGGAGGACUCCAUGGACUCGGGGGCGGCCGGCAGCGGCUCCCCGCAGCCGGCCGAGCCCGCCGAGCCUGUAUCCCCAGCCGCCGCCGGCUCCGGCUCCGGCUCCCCGGCGCCCUACUCCGGCAGCGCCGACGAGACUGGCGCCCAGCCGCUGGACCUGACGCCUCGCUCGGCCGCCGCACCGGCCGUCCCAUCCCCUGCCGUCUCUGCGGCCGCCUCGCCGCUGAUGAGGCUGCCGCUCGGAGGGUUUCCGAACCCGUUCACGUCCGGACCGAUGUUCGGACAGUUCGGGGGACUGGACGCCCGCUUCCCCGGAGUCGCCGGCUACCCAGGUUUUCGCCUGCCAGUCGGCUUUGGACAUUCACUACCGCAGCCACACGAAGGAGCGGCCUUUCAAGUGUCCCCGCUGCGACAAGGGUUUCAGUACAAAGGGAAACAUGAAGCAGCACCUGAUGACCCACAAGCCGAGGGAAUCGGGCGCCGGCUCGGGCUCGGGUUCGGGUUCGGACGGCGAGAUGACCCGAGCCCCGAGCCCCGAGGGCAGGUCACCAGCCCGGCCGGCGCCGACGCCGACCAGCGAGCAGCCGACGCCGCCUCUCCCGCAGCCAGAUGACCGGGAGCGCUGGGGGUCAUCAUCUCCUCCGCUGCCGCCGGCUCCGGCUCCGGGCCUGGCUCCGGGCCUGGCUCCGCCUCCGGGUCCGCUGCCGACGGCGCUGGAUGACAUGAUGACGUCCCCACCCGCGCCACUCCACCUCAGCGGGCCGCCUCGAGCCGUCACUGAAGGGCUUUGAGGCUAGUUCAAGCCGUGUCUAUCUGGAAUAAUGUUGCAACACAUAUCACUCUAGGACAAGUUGGUGUGACGUCCGGCGCCUACCGUGCGGUGUCCAGCCUAGGUGGCGCUGCGGGCGCUCUGGACGCCGCUGUUCCUACACAUGCUAGUCGAGAGCUGGGGAGAGAGAGAAGAAACAAGACACGCGCCGCUGUAACCCUCGUGUCCAAAGACUGGCGCGAAGUCAACGAGAGACGCACUCGAGUCACGCUUAUUGAAACUGGCGUGCGGAAAGGCGACUCUCGUUGUGGACCGUUCCGCCUCACCUGGGAGGCAAAGCUACGCGAGCGUCAUCUAUACAGCUCGCGCGGUGCAUUUGCUGACUAGCGCGUCAUCUAUAAAACUAUGAGGAAGUGUUAGUUCGCUUUGUGGCCGCCUGUGCUCGCUUCUGUGCCGAGUGCCGGCAGGUGAAUGUUGUCGCUGUGAGGAAGGUGUGUCGGUGUCUAUUUGUGUGUUUGUGUGGAUGUUUGUAAAUACCGAGUUGGUCCCUUGCCCCCGGCGCCGGCGGGUCGUUAGCCCCUGUGGCAGUGUUGGGCAUGUGUCGUUGUUGCUGGUUGUUGUUGUUACAUGUAUCAUACCGGUGGCAACGCCAGCGGUACCAUUGUCUGCGCGCGCCCGUGUAUUUAUUUGAGCACCCGUAUAUGCAACGUUUUGUGGGUGAGCAGCAGCACCUCAGCCGCCACAGCGGCCACCUCGUCAUUACCAGCCUGUUCCGCUGGCCCCGCAAACGGCACGCAAGUCGCUGGCUUCUGGCCUGUUCACGGGGUCUAUGUUUCCUCUGUUUUCUGAUCUGUGACGCGUGAUACGGUAUCAUGCAAUUAAGUCCAGGUUGGCAUUAUGAGUUCACAGAAGAAAUGAGUUCCAACGAUGAGUUGCGAUCCAAACCGGAUCACACGUUUUAACUAUCCCAGAUUACCAGUUAUCGUAUCUAAUUUAUUUCUAUCAACUUUCCAAUUUCCAUGCUGCUUACUGUCGAAUCUGGAUAAAUGUUCUGUGAUAUAUAGACAAGAUCUGGCGCAAAAUCAUUCCAUUAGCCGUCGGUGGGACUUAAGUUGUAUAACGGGCAGUUCUCUGGGCACUACCCCCCGCACAGGGGUGACCCGGGUGCCUACAGAGCUCCGCGGUCAGCGCGGACCACCCUACCGAAUGGAACGGCUUCGCUCGCCCCUCCAAUGCGACCCCCACUCCGACCCUAGUGUGUAAAUACCUUAUGGAUACGCCAACUUUUGGAUUCGACCCCUUCAGUGUGCUGUAGUGACAUGUUUUUCAAAUAAACUUGACCAAUAUCACACGAGG
rnacentral:misc_RNA from 1 species